UUGAACGCUGGCGGCAUGCCUUACACCUGCAAGUCGAACGGCAGCACGGGUGCUUGCACCUGGUGGCGAGUGGCGAACGGGUGAGUAAUACAUCGGAACAUGUCCUGUAGUGGGGGAUAGCCCGGCGAAAGCCGGAUUAAUACCGCAUACGAUCUACGGAUGAAAGCGGGGGACCUUCGGGCCUCGCGCUAUAGGGGUGGCCGAUAGCUGAUUAGCUAGUUGGUGGGGUAAAGGCCUACCAAGGCGACGAUCAGUAGCUGGUCUGAGAGGACGACCAGCCACACUGGGACUGAGACACGGCCCAGACUCCUACGGGAGGCAGCAGUGGGGAAUUUUGGACAAUGGGCGAAAGCCUGAUCCAGCAAUGCCGCGUGUGUGAAGAAGGCCUUCGGGUUGUAAAGCACUUUUGUCCGGAAAGAAAUCCUUGGCUCUAAUACAGUCGGGGGAUGACGGUACCGGAAGAAUAAGCACCGGCUAACUACGUG
rnacentral:rRNA from 1 species